AUCGCUUCUCAGCCUUUUGGCCAAGAUCAAGUGUAGUACCUGUUCUUAUCAGUUUACUAUCUGAUACGUCCUCUAUCCGAAGACAAUAUAUUAAAUGGAUUUUUGGAAUUAGGAGAUGGAGUAGGAGCUUGCUCCAUCCACUCCACGAUCGACCUGGUAUUGCAGCACUUCCAGGAACGGGGCACUCCAU
rnacentral:snRNA from 1 species